GUUUCCAAUUGAGAAAAGAAAAAAAGUCAACAAUCAGAGGUGGCAAAAUGGCAAACGCAACGGCACAAGGAGAUUCCGGGAUCAGCGAUUUUUAUGAAGCUGUGUCUGGUCUGAUGACUUUAUUUUUGCGCUCAGUCUGCCUAAGUGUAUCGACUUGUGCGGGUCCUUUGGACUCUGUCACGCUUUCAGCAUUGCCCCCAUCAUCCAGGCAAUGUUAUCCUGUUUUCACAAGCGAGAAAGUGGUGUCGCUCAGACGUUAGCAGCCUUUUUGCUGUGUCCAGCUUACGCCGCAUGUGCCUGCUGCAAGACCUGGGUUUGAAUCUCAGCACCCACAACCAUUUGUCAGGCCCGUUCUGGGGACUCUGACGCCCUCUUCUGGCCUCUGCAGGCCCCAGGCAUACAAGAGGUGCAUGGACACACACACAGGCAAAGCAACCACACAUGUUAAAAAAUAAACCCUACUGGCAAAAGGGAUGGAAGAAAUGGACAAAACAGGGCGUACUUUCUGGCACCAUUAAAGACGACACUACAGAUAUAGGCAUGAGCAAGAUUCAGCAAACAGAAGAGAAAAACCAACUGGCUGUCCCGACAGCCCACCUGCUAGCUGCCAUGAUUUAUGGAAGGGAUUAGUGAUUAAAGCCAUCUUAUAAGGUCCAUAAACAAACUGAGCUUUUUAAUUUAAAAUUCUGUUUUAAUAUUUUUGUGUGGUUCUGAGGAUUGCGUGUGCUAGCAAGUGCUCUAUCACUGAGCUGCGUUCCGACCCUGAUUCUUUGAUCUUGUGUGCAUGUGUUCAUGUGUACAUAUGUGCAUAUUCGUGUGGAGUCAGAGCACAGCCUCAGGUGCCAUUGCUCAGGUACCUCCCAUUUUCCCUUUGAGAUAGGGUCUCUCAUUGGCCUGGACCUUCUUCACGAAGUAGGCUAGACUAUGGUUAGCGAGCUCUAGGGUGUCACCUGCCUUUGUCUUGCACUGCCCGCCCCCCCUCUCCGUCCCAUGUCUGGGAUUAUAGGCUUGCAAUACCAAACUCAGCUUUUUAUGUGGGCAUGGCGCUUGUGAGGCUAAGGGCUUACCAACUGAGCCAUCUCCUCAGCCGCCAGACUGUCUGAUUUUGACAAAGAGAAGUCGUGAUUUCACUGAGCAAAGGCCUUUGCUACAGUCCCCACAGCUAACGAGGACCAAGCCCAGAGUAUCACAGAAGUUUUCACUUCUUCAAAGGGGGUCAGAGCCAUUCUCCAGUGAGGCGAGGAGAGGGAGUCCCAGCUCACCAGCACGGUUUGAGAAACCUCAUGCGGGCACCGCGGUCCACUGACGACAGGCGUCAGAG